rnacentral:lncRNA from 1 species
GUUCCCUGUGUCACGCUAAUUAUACCAUGGUGGAGAAAUGCUGGACUAGGCACUCUCUCAGGCUCUGAUGGGCCCUGAGAGUGGGAAGGACACUUCUGGGUGGGGGGCUGUAGCAGAGGGCUAAGGGAGGCAGUCGGGGCCCACUGCUGCGAGUCCUGUGGAGGGGGGAGGCCCUUCUCCCUGCCUCCGAUGGCCACCUUUGUCCCUCCAGGCAGCCAUCCAGACAGCCCUGAAGUCAGAGGAGCCCGCCCUGGCUCUCAGGCUCUACGAAGAAGCUGGGGACGUGUUCUUCAAUGGGACCCGCGGCAGGCAUCGUGCGGUGGAGUAUUACCGAGCUGGGGCUGUUCCUUUAGCAAGGAGGAUGAAAGUGGUCAGAACAGAGCUCCGGAUUUUCAACAAACUGACAGAGCUGCAGAUGAGCCUUGAAGGCUAUGACAAGGCUUUGGAAUUUGCCACCCUGGCUGCCAGACUCAGCGCAGUCACGGGUAGGUGGUCCUAAUUGCUGGGCAAGUCGAAUGGGAGAAAUAAACACUACUCCAGGGUGGAUGCCA